rnacentral:lncRNA from 1 species
UCAGGUCCAGAGAAGAUUCUGAGGAAUCCAUGGACUCACAGGCCUCGUUUCCAACCCUACGUCUUGAGUGAACCCUAGUACCAAUCGAAGAGGAGCCUAGGGCGAGAUCUAGUCCGUUUGUCAUCCUAACAGGUUCGGAAUAAAGGAUGGGGAGAAAGAAAGUGUUACCUGAGAGAAUGAAAACCUAGGCCUGAGUAAUGGAGAUCGCGCGAGAUUUUGGUGAGAAAUAAAAGGAAACCCAAAAGUCCAGGCAGCAAAAAUGGGGAAACAAAAUCAAAAACCCUAAGAUUGACUUACACGCGUCAAGAAGGUGAGACUGCGCGGGAAAACGAGUCUCGAAGCACGAUAAGGGAACCUAUCCCCUCAGUCCUGGGGACCCAAAAAACUAACGAGAUCUUGAGGAACCCAUUACCGGUAUCAUCUCUCCGACUCUCUCCAGCAUGUACGCAUCUUAACAUCAGAGUUCCGGCCCCACCAUCUCCAGAAGAAAGAAGGAACUACUACUAGACUCUGGUCAAACAC